ensembl:lncRNA
GGACGUGCAAUGCUGCCAGUGCUGCCCAGGCACAGGGAUGACUCUGCUGCCCUCCUUCCUGCGGGAAGGCUGCAAGACUGCAGGAUCAGCCCUGUCUCAGGCACAACAGCAUCAGAGCAGAGAGCAUUGCAGCCCUUAGCUCCACUGUUCUGCAGAGAUGGCAUGUGGAUAACUGCAACGCUAGCCUCCAGCACCAGUGGGAUAUGCUGAACCUGGAAACAAUCGGCUGAGAGAGAAGAAACUUCUCUACAGCCAGUAAGACACGUGCCGUGCCCAGGUUUGUGUUUAAGCAGCUGGGAGCUGAGUGCCAGCCACCAAACCCAAGGCAACGCUAUGCAGGUUUCCUCUGCAAUAACAGCCUGACUUCAGCAUCUUCAGGGAUGCAGCUUUGGAGAAGAGCAGGCUGCAAAAGCAGGCUGGACCAGCAGAGCCUAUGCUGGAGCAGCUCCAUCCCUGUCUCUGCUGUGGGCUAAGAGCUGCAGCACGCCGAGCCCUGGGGCAGCUGUGAUGUCCAUUCCACCCGGGGGUUUGUGGCACGGUGCAGCAUCGCUGUGGUGGAAGAGCAGUGGAUCCUGAGGAGAGGAGCCCAGCAGGGAUGCUCAGUGCCACACGGGGCCACCAGCACAGCCGGGAGCCCAGGGGACAGUCCCGCGGUGCUUCAUUUAAUGUAUCACAGAAUCACUCAGGUUGGAGAAAACACGAAGAUCUUCUAGUCCAACCGUCAGCCCAUCACCCACGGAGGUGACAAGGAGAACACGCCAUCGCGUGGGGUUGGCGAGCUCCCGGGGAACCCCGUGCUGUAACCAGGAGGACUCCACUCACCGCUGCCUCCCGCCCCGCGCCGCUCAGCCCUUAAAGCAUCUCCCCAUCCGCAAACACAGCGGCUGAAACCCGAGCACGAAGGCGGGCGGGGGCGCGGGGUGGCUCCGGCCCUGGCGCCGCUCAUUGGCUCCGCUCCGCGUCCCGCGUUGGCCUUUGGCAGUCCGAGGGCACACAGCCCGCGUCCCCCCCUGACCGCUGCCCUAAUGACACGGCUCGCCCUCCCAAAGGGCAUGUGCAAGCUUCUCCUUGUUAUACUUUACCUAGGCUCUGUUAUCCCCGGGGCUGACGCUGGCGUGGGAGCGGGGUUGGGGUCAGCACGCUCAGCCCCAUAGAGGGAAGGCUUGCGGGACUCCUCCUCUUGCAACGGCCUCAGCUGCCUGCCCCUCUUUGAGGAACGUCAGGAAAUUUCUGGUGCCUGAGAUUAUGAGGGGUGGAGAGAGCAAAAACCAGCUUGUCAGGCACGGCUGGCCGUAUCACGGGACAGAGAGCGUCAUUGCUUGGGGACGUUGGCUCCUUCGGGGCUGGGGCUGGAGGGCAGCGGUUGGAGGAGGGCCUAUCUGCCCUGGCAGAGGGCUGAGAGCUGCAAACCGUGGCCAACACGUCUUCAGUUAGAAGAACCAGCGGGCCUUGAGCUCUGCCAGCCCUCCUGCUUGCAAAACUCAGGUUCUGAUUUAGAGGGAAGUCACAACCAAUUGAUAGUGAAACUGCACGUUGCUCUGCAAAGAACCAGAGAAGGGAGCGUGCACGCAGCGAGCGCUGCAUCCUCUUCACACCACCUGGGCAGGACACGCUCCAUCCCCACCUGAUCGACUUCUGAGGAGGCAGAACAAAGCAGAGAGACAUCUUGUCCUCCUUUGCCGACCCCUGGGGGCUCUCCAUUCUAUAGGGGAAAAGCAACAACCAGCACAGAGAAGUGCUGGGGCUGUGCAAAAGCCCAGAGCAGGCAGGAGCAGAGGGAGCAUCCAAGCACCACCACGCAGCCACGUCAACAGCUGUACUUCGUCCCCCAGGAUCCCAUUGGACCCCAGGGGCACAGCCAGCAGCACGUCCCCUCUGCAAGGCGUCCCCGUUGCGCUCCACCCGCGCUGUCCUCCACUCACCUCCUGGCACCAGGGCCUGUCCCCAGCUGGCCUUGCCCAGUUUUGCAGCCAAACGGAGCCCUGUGCAGAGGAGCGGUUGGGCGGUGUGGGCUGUGCUUGGCUUUGCUCUGCUCCUUGGGUGCUCGCAUGCCCAGCUGGGAGAGGUGUUUCUGAAACUCAGGGCUAUGUAGGCUGGAGUUUCGAGCCUUUUACAAAUGAUUCCCAUAGAUGGUUACUUCCCAUUUGAGCGCAGCUCGUAUAAAGGAAAUCACGAGAUACAUGAAGGAGAACCUCACUUGUCAUUCAACAGAUUCUUCUUGUAAGCCCACAUUCAAUGUGAGGCCCUCCAGCCCCACUUCUCCCCCAGCGAGGCAAACACCGCUGCUGGCGGCGCACCUCUCCCUGUACUGCAUGCAAAGGGGCAUUGGGGCUGCACUGCAGGAACC